rnacentral:rRNA from 1 species
GUGAGGAAUAUUGGACAAUGGGCGCAAGCCUGAUCCAGCCAUGCCGCGUGCAGGAAGACGCAUCUAUGGUUUGUAAACUGCUUUUGUACGGGAAGAAACACUCCCUCGUGAGGGAGCUUGACGGUACCGUAAGAAUAAGGAUCGGCUAACUCCGUUCCAGCAGCCGCGGUAAUACGGAGGAUCCAAGCGUUAUCCGGAAUCAUUGGGUUUAAAGGGUCCGUAGGCGGUUUAAUAAGUCAGUGGUGAAAGCCCAUCGCUCAACGAUGGAACGGCCAUUGAUACUGUUAGACUUGAAUUACAAGGAAGUAACUAGAAUAUGUAGUGUAGCGGUGAAAUGCUUAGAUAUUACAUGGAAUACCAAUUGCGAAGGCAGGUUACUACUUGUGGAUUGACGCUGAUGGACGAAAGCGUGGGGAGCGAACAGGAUUAGAAACCCUUGUAGUCU